rnacentral:rRNA from 1 species
AUGUCCAUCUUUAAGGAAUUCUCUUUGGGCACUUGUGAUCUCCGCCACCUUAACUAUGGGGUCAUCACCCUCAUCCCCAAGGUCCCUGGCGCAUCGGAUAUCCGCCAAUUCCGCUCGAUCACAGUGAUCAACAUGAUCUUUCGCAUACUAGCAAAGGGGUACGCCAAUAGGGUGACCUCUCUGGCCAACCGCAUCACCCAUCCGGACCAGUCGGCCUUCAUUUAGGGACGGUUCAUCCUUGAUGGUGUCCUUGUCUUUCACGAUGUCCUCCAUGAGGACCGGUCCAAACACCUCAAGGCUAUCUUCCUGAAGAUUGACUUCCAUAAAGCCUACAACACGGUCAGCUGGCCCUUCCUUCGGGAAGUUUUGAUUCGGAAGGGAUUUGACGACCGGUGGGUCAUGAGGGUCAUGCAUAUGGUCUCCUCGGGGCAAACCGUGGUCAAUAUCAAUGGGGAGAUUGGCCCCCUAUUUCCCUACACUAUGUGGGGUCAGAUAGGGCAGUCCUUUCUCCCCAUUCCUUUUGGACAUGGUCGUCGAUGCACUUGCAGCUAUCCUCGACAAGGCGAAGGCGGUUGGGCACAUCCGCGGUAUUGUUCCCCACCUUGUCAGCGGCAACAGGGUCUCUUUGCUCCAGUACGCAGAUGA